rnacentral:rRNA from 1 species
AUGGCUCAGGAUGAACGCUAGCUACAGGCUUAACACAUGCAAGUCGAGGGGCAGCAUGAGGUUAGCUUGCUAAUCUUGAUGGCGACCGGCGCACGGGUGCGUAACACGUAUCCAAUCUACCCAUGGCUCGGGGAUAGCCUUUCGAAAGAAAGAUUAAUACCCGAUGGUCUGCGAUUGAGACAUCUCGAUUGCAGUAAAGACUUGUCGGCGAUGGAUGGGGAUGCGUCCGAUUAGCUAGUUGGCGGGGUAACGGCCCACCAAGGCGACGAUCGGUAGGGGUUCUGAGAGGAAGGUCCCCCACACUGGAACUGAGACACGGUCCAGACUCCUACGGGAGGCAGCAGUGAGGAAUAUUGGUCAAUGGGCGAUGGCCUGAACCAGCCAAGUAGCGUGAGGGAUGACGGCCCUACGGGUUGUAAACCUCUUUUGUAUGGGAAUAAAGUGAGGCACGUGUGCCUUUUUGUAUGUACCUUACGAAUAAGCAUCGGCUAAUUCCGUGCCAGCAGCAGC